rnacentral:rRNA from 1 species
AAGGACGUUACUAACGACGAUAUGCUUUGGGGAGCUGUAAGUAAGCUUUGAUCCAGAGAUUUCCGAAUGGGGAAACCCAGCAUGAGUUAUGUCAUGUUAUCGAUAUGUGAAUACAUAGCAUAUCAGAAGGCACACCCGGAGAACUGAAACAUCUUAGUACCCGGAGGAAGAGAAAGAAAAUUCGAUUCCCUUAGUAGCGGCGAGCGAAACGGGAAGAGCCCAAACCAACAAGCUUGCUUGUUGGGGUUGUAGGACACUCUAUACGGAGUUACAAAGGACGACAUUAGACGAAUCAUCUGGAAAGAUGAAUCAAAGAAGGUAAUAAUCCUGUAGUCGAAAAUGUUGUCUCUCUUGAGUGGAUCCUGAGUACGACGGAGCACGUGAAAUUCCGUCGGAAUCUGGGAGGACCAUCUCCUAAGGCUAAAUACUCUCUAGUGACCGAUAGUGAACCAGUACCGUGAGGGAAAGGUGAAAAGCACCCCGGAAGGGGAGUGAAAUAGAACCUGAAACCGUGUGCUUACAAGUAGUCAGAGCCCGUUAAUGGGUGAUGGCGUGCCUUUUGUAGAAUGAACCGGCGAGUUACGAUUUGAUGCAAGGUUAAGCAGUAAAUGUGGAGCCGUAGCGAAAGCGAGUCUGAAUAGGGCGUUUAGUAUUUGGUCGUAGACCCGAAACCAGGUGAUCUACCCUUGGUCAGGUUGAAGUUCAGGUAACACUGAAUGGAGGACCGAACCGACUUACGUUGAAAAGUGAGCGGAUGAACUGAGGGUAGCGGAGAAAUUCCAAUCGAACCUGGAGAUAGCUGGUUCUCUCCGAAAUAGCUUUAGGGCUAGCCUCAAGUGAUGAUUAUUGGAGGUAGAGCACUGUUUGGACGAGGGGCCCCUCUCGGGUUACCGAAUUCAGACAAACUCCGAAUGCCAAUUAAUUUAACUUGGGAGUCAGAACAUGGGUGAUAAGGUCCGUGUUCGAAAGGGAAACAGCCCAGACCACCAGCUAAGGUCCCAAAAUAUAUGUUAAGUGGAAAAGGAUGUGGCGUUGCCCAGACAACUAGGAUGUUGGCUUAGAAGCAGCCAUCAUUUAAAGAGUGCGUAAUAGCUCACUAGUCGAGUGACACUGCGCCGAAAAUGUACCGGGGCUAAACAUAUUACCGAAGCUGUGGAUUGUCCUUUGGACAAUGGUAGGAGAGCGUUCUAAGGGCGUUGAAGCAUGAUCGUAAGGACAUGUGGAGCGCUUAGAAGUGAGAAUGCCGGUGUGAGUAGCGAAAGACGGGUGAGAAUCCCGUCCACCGAUUGACUAAGGUUUCCAGAGGAAGGCUCGUCCGCUCUGGGUUAGUCGGGUCCUAAGCUGAGGCCGACAGGCGUAGGCGAUGGAUAACAGGUUGAUAUUCCUGUACCACCUAUAAUCGUUUUAAUCGAUGGGGGGACGCAGUAGGAUAGGCGAAGCGUGCGAUUGGAUUGCACGUCUAAGCAGUAAGGCUGAGUAUUAGGCAAAUCCGGUAAUCGUUAAGGCUGAGCUGUGAUGGGGAGAAGACAUUGAGUCUUCGAGUCGUUGAUUUCACACUGCCGAGAAAAGCCUCUAGAUAGAAAAUAGGUGCCCGUACCGCAAACCGACACAGGUAGUCAAGAUGAGAAUUCUAAGGUGAGCGAGCGAACUCUCGUUAAGGAACUCGGCAAAAUGACCCCGUAACUUCGGGAGAAGGGGUGCUCUUUAGGGUUAACGCCCAGAAGAGCCGCAGUGAAUAGGCCCAAGCGACUGUUUAUCAAAAACACAGGUCUCUGCUAAACCGUAAGGUGAUGUAUAGGGGCUGACGCCUGCCCGGUGCUGGAAGGUUAAGAGGAGUGGUUAGCUUCUGCGAAGCUACGAAUCGAAGCCCCAGUAAACGGCGGCCGUAACUAUAACGGUCCUAAGGUAGCGAAAUUCCUUGUCGGGUAAGUUCCGACCCGCACGAAAGGCGUAACGAUUUGGGCACUGUCUCAACGAGAGACUCGGUGAAAUCAUAGUACCUGUGAAGAUGCAGGUUACCCGCGACAGGACGGAAAGACCCCGUGGAGCUUUACUGUAGCCUGAUAUUGAAAUUCGGCACAGCUUGUACAGGAUAGGUAGGAGCCUUUGAAACGUGAGCGCUAGCUUACGUGGAGGCGCUGGUGGGAUACUACCCUAGCUGUGUUGGCUUUCUAACCCGCACCACUUAUCGUGGUGGGAGACAGUGUC